AUGAUCCGAACCGCAUACCACUCCACGUGGUAUUUGAUGAAUAAAGUUUGGCUAAACCCUCAAAAAAACAAAAAUCAGCCAAACUCCACCGCCUCCUCGCCGCCGGCCCGUGUCCUCCACCACGCCAUCCUCCGCCGUGCCGUCCUCCCCGCACCACAGCCUGCUCCUCUCCGUCGUGCCCUCCUCCUCGCGUCGUCCGAGUCCUCCGCGUGCAGUUCGCUGAAGCCGAGGCCCAGGCCAGCUCGCUCUGGGCCUGCACCGACGACCACCACGGGCUGCUCAGCACGCUCCUCGCCGCCACGAGCAACGACCGGGAGGAUGAGGAGGUGA
rnacentral:rRNA from 1 species